rnacentral:misc_RNA from 1 species
AGCAGCCGCGGUAAUUCCAGCUCCAAUAGCGUAUAUUAAAGUUGUUGCAGUUAAAAAGCUCGUAGUUGAAUUUCGGGGUUCUUCCGUUGGUCAGGCUAACAAGUCUGUACUAGCGUGUAGAAUCUCUACCUUCUGGGGAACCAUCAUGUUAUUAAUUUAGCGUGGUGGGAAACCAGGACCUUUACCUUGAAAAAAUUAGAGUGUUCAAAGCAGGCUUACGUCUGAAUACAUUAGCAUGGAAUAAUAAAAUAGGACGGUGGUCCUGUUUGUUGGUUUCUGAAUCACCGUAAUGAUUAAUAGGGAUAGUUGGGGGCAUUAGUAUUCAAUUGUCAGAGGUGAAAUUCUUGGAUUUAUUGAAGACUAACUUCUGCGAAAGCAAUUUGCCAAGGAUGU